rnacentral:rRNA from 1 species
UACGUAGGGGGCAAGCGUUGUCCGGAAUCAUUGGGCGUAAAGAGCGUGUAGGCGGCUCGAUAAGUCUGCUGUGAAAGUCCAGGGCUCAACCCUGGAAGGCCGGUGGAAACUGUCGGGCUAGAGUCCGGAAGAGGCGAGUGGAAUUCCCGGUGUAGUGGUGAAAUGCGUAGAGAUCGCGAGGAACACCAGUGGCGAAGGCGGCCGGCUGGGGGUGCCCUGACGCUGAGGCGCGAAAGCGUGGGGAGCGAACCGG